rnacentral:rRNA from 1 species
UACGGAGGGGGCUAGCGUUGUUCGGAAUUACUGGGCGUAAAGCGCACGUAGGCGGAUCGGACAGUCAGAGGUGAAAUCCCGGGGCUCAACCCUGGAACUGCCUUUGAAACUAUCGGUCUGGAGUUCGAGAGAGGUGAGUGGAAUUCCGAGUGUAGAGGUGAAAUUCGUAGAUAUUCGGAGGAACACCAGUGGCGAAGGCGGCUCACUGGCUCGAUACUGACGCUGAGGUGCGAAAGCGUGGGGAGCAAACAGG